UAAAGCUACAAAGAGCUAAUGGGGAAUGCCUUGGUACUGACAGCCGAUGAAGGACGUGUAAAGCUGCGAUAAGCUGCGGGGAACUGCUAAAAGGUCUUGAUCCGCAGAAAUCCGAAUGGGGAAACCCUAUCAAGUUAAAACUUGAUAACUCACAAGUGAAUACAUAGCUUGUGUAGAGGAAAGCCUGUGAACUGAAACAUCUUAGUAACAGGACGAAGAGAAAAUAACCCAAUGAUUCCGAGAGUAGCGGCGAGCGAAAUUGGAAGAGCCUAAAUUGUGUGUACGUGAUAGCCUGCAAGCGUUGUGCACAUGAGGUUGUGGGACUUGCAUCAUAUUUUGCAGAAUAUGGAUUGAGUUAGAAAAUUAUUUAUUAGUUAAAGUCAACUGGGAAGUUGCGCCAUAGAGAGUGAUAGCCUCGUAAACGACAAUAAAUAAUCUCAAGUAAGUAUCCCGAGUAAGGCGGGGCACGUGAAACCCUGUCUGAAUCCACCGGGACCAUCCGGUAAGGCUAAAUACUAGUCAGUGACCGAUAGUGAACGAGUACAGUGAUGGAAAGGCGAAAAGAACAGUGAGAAGCUGAGUGAAAUAGACCCUGAAACCGUUAGCUUACAACCAGUCAGAGCACAAUUAAUUGUGUGAUGGCGUGCCUGUUGAAGAAUGAGCCGGCGAGUUAUUUUUUGUUGCGAGGUUAAGGAGAUCAUAUCCGGAGCCACAGGGAAACCGAGUCUGAAUAGGGCGUUAAGUAACAGGAAAUAGACCCGAACCUUGGUGAUCUAACCUUGACCAGGAUGAAGCGUGGGUAACACUACGUGGAGGUCCGAACCAACCGAUGUUGAAAAAUCGGUGGAUGAGUUGAGGUUAGGGGUGAAAUGCCAAUCGAACCAAGAGCUAGCUGGUUCUCCCCGAAAUGCGUUUAGGCACAGCGUUGGAUUUAUCUUGCAGGAGGUAGAGCACUGGUUUUGUGCGGGCGUCGAAAUGAUGUACCAAACAAUGUCAAACUCCGAAUACCUGUAAUGUCAUUAUCCAGCAGUGAGGCUAUGAGUGAUAAGAUCCAUGGCCAAGAGGGAAACAGCCCAGAACGCCAGUUAAGGUCCCUAAUAUAUGCUAAGUGGUUAAGGAGGUAGAGUUACUGAGACAACCAGGAGGUUGGCUUAGAAGCAGCCAUCCCUUGAAAGAGUGCGUAAUAGCUCACUGGUCAAGUGACUCCGCGCCGAAAAUACACCGGGACUAAAGCAUAUAACCGAAGCUGCGUCAUAUAGUUUACUAUAUGGGUAGGGGAGCGUACUGUAGUAAGACGAAGCUAGAGUGAAAACACUAGUGGAUGAGGCAGUAGUGAGAAUGUCGGCAUAAGUAGCGAAAACAUUGGUGAGAAUCCAAUGCACCGAAAACCUAAGGUUUCCCACGGCAGGCUCGUCCGCGUGGGGUUAGUCGGAUCCUAAGCUCAGGCCAAACGGCGUAGGCGAUGGACAAUAGGUUGAUAUUCCUAUACUAUCUGAUAAUCGUUAUCAGAAGCGGAGGGACGCAAGAGGAUAAGCACGCAGUCGACUGGAAGAGACUGUAUAAGCGUGUAGCUAGGUUUGACAGGAAAAUCCGUCAAAUCGUUAAUGUGAGGCGUGAUGUGGAGAGUCUACGGACUCGAAGGUGUUGACUCCAAAUUGCCAAGAAAAUCUUCGCUCUCGAGAUUAUUGGGUAUCCGUACCGUAAACCGCCACAGGUAGGUUGGUAGAAAAUACUAAGGUGCGCGAGACAACUCUCGCUAAGGAACUCGGCAAAAUCACCUCGUAACUUCGGGAGAAGAGGUACCCUGGUAGCGUGAAGCGAUUUACUCGUGAAGCGUGAUAGGGUCGCAGUGAAUAGGCCCAAGCGACUGUUUACCAAAAACACAGGUCUCUGCUAAGUCGAUCAAGACGAUGUAUAGGGGCUGACGCCUGCCCGGUGUCGGAAGGUUACGCGGAAAUGUUAGAAGCAAUUCAAAGCAUCGAAGCUAAGCCCCGAUGAACGGCGGCCGUAACUAUAACGGUCCUAAGGUAGCGAAAUUCCUUGUCAGGUAAGUUCUGACCCGCACGAAUGGCGU
rnacentral:rRNA from 1 species